rnacentral:rRNA from 1 species
AUUGAACGCUGGCGGCAUGCUUUACACGUGCAAGUCGAACGGCAGCGCGGGCUUCGGCCUGGCGGCGAGUGGCGAACGGGUGAGUAAUACAUCGGAACGUGCCCAGUAGUGGGGGAUAGCUCGGCGAAAGCCGGAUUAAUACCGCAUACGACCUGAGGGUGAAAGCGGGGGAUCUUCGGACCUCGCGCUAUUGGAGCGGCCGAUGGCAGAUUAGCUAGUUGGUGGGGUAAAGGCCUACCAAGGCGACGAUCUGUAGCUGGUCUGAGAGGACGACCAGCCACACUGGGCCUGAGCCACGGCCCAGACUCCUACGGGAGGCAGCAGUGGGAAAUUUUGGACAAUGGGCGAAAGCCUGCUCCAGCAAUGCCGCGUGUGUGAUGAAGGCCCUCGGGUUGUAAAGCACUUUUGGCGGGAACGAAAAGGACUGUGCCAAUACCACGGUUCGAUGCCGGUACCCGCAGAAUAAGCACCGGCUAACUACGU